UAACAAGGAUUCCCCUAGUAACUGCGAGUGAAGCGGGAAAAGCUCAAAUUUAAAAUCUGGCAGUCUCUGGCUGUCCGAGUUGUAAUCUAGAGAAGUAAUGCCCGUGCUGGACCGUGUAUAAGUCUCCUGGGAUGGGGCGUCAUAGAGGGUGAGAAUCCCGUCUUUGACACGGACUACCAGUGCAUUGUGGUAUGCUCUCAAAGAGUCGAGUUGUUUGGGAAUGCAGCUCAAAAUGGGUGGUAAAUUCCAUCUAAAGCUAAAUAUUGGCGAGAGACCGAUAGCGAACAAGUACCGUGAGGGAAAGAUGAAAAGAACUUUGGAAAGAGAGUUAAACAGUACGUGAAAUUGCUGAAAGGGAAACGCUUGAAGUCAGUCGCGUUGGCCGGGGAUCAGCCUUGCUUUUGCAUGGUGUAUUUUCUGGUUGACGGGUCAGCAUCAAUUUUGACCACUGGAAAAGGCUCAAGGGAAUGUGGCAGCUUCGGCUGUGUUAUAGCCCCUGUUCACAUACAGUGGUUGGGAUUGAGGAACUCAGCACGCCGCAAGGCCGGGUUUCGACCACGUUCGUGCUUAGGAUGCUGGCAUAAUGGCUUUAAGCGACCCGUCUUGAAACACGGACCAAGGAGUCUAACAUGCCUGCGAGUAUUUGGGUGGAAAACCCAAGUGCGCAAUGAAAGUGAAAGUUGAGAUCCCUGUCGUGGGGAGCAUCGACGCCCGGACCAGAACUUUUGGGACGGAUCCGCGGUGGAGCAUGUAUGUUGGGACCCGAAAGAUGGUGAACUAUGCCUGAAUAGGGUGAAGCCAGAGGAAACUCUGGUGGAGGCUCGUAGCGAUUCUGACGUGCAAAUCGAUCGUCAAAUUUGGGUAUAGG
rnacentral:rRNA from 1 species